rnacentral:rRNA from 1 species
UAGCGUAUAUUAAAGUUGUUGCGGUUAAAAAGUUCGUAGUUGGAUUUCUGUCGGAGACCUGCGGUCUGCGCUAUGUGCAUGUAUCUGUAGGGCUCUGGCAUCCUUCCGAAAGACGUCGCUAUGCUUCAUUGCACGGUGCGGAGUUCGGAACUUUUACUUUGAGGAAAUUAGAGUGUUCACGGCAGGCCAACGCCAUGAAUAUAUUAGCAUGGAAUAAUAAUAUAGGAUUUCGGUUCUAUUUUGUUGGUUUCUAGGGCUGAAAUAAUGAUUAAUAGGGACAGUUGGGGGCAUUCGUAUUAAGGCGUC